CUGGGGCUAUUUCCAACACAGCAGGAAGGAAGAGCUUUCAGGAACAUCUUCAACCAUUUCUCCAAAGUGGUCCAGGUCACCAAGGGAAGUAUAUUCACUAAAAGAGCUCAGGGCUGUUCAUUGUUAACCCUUCAGAUCAGAUCCUAAAAGCUCUUAAAAACACCAUUCACAACUGAAAGCUGUUUCACUCCAUCCUGACCUGGAUUUAUUAUCAGGAGACAGACAGAUCUUUUUUUUUUCCCUUUUUUUUUCUUUCUUUCUUCCCAAGCCAUUUGUUUCACCCAAUAAGUCGAUCCAUCACCGUGUUCUGGAACCGACCUACGAUCCAAGGAUAUUCUUAGACAUACAGCAUGUCAGGAAACGGCCAGCAGCCCCGUGUGAUGCAAAUAUUUGGACGACAGAGAGGUUUCUGGCCAGCAACACCAAGGACUGUCACGGGCUUUAACCAAGUGCGUGCGGGAGGAGCGAGGACAUCCCUGGCCAUGCUGCAGGACUGAGCUGUGGGCUGGGCACAGGACAACCCUCACCUCAAGGGUGAGUGCUUAGAAAGUGUGGGCAAAGCCAAAUUUGAAGCAAGGAAUCUGGGAAACCGAGAUAGGAGACAAGCAAAUCAGUCUGUGUGUGCACAAAAUAACCCGAACCUCAUCUUUAUUGAGGUUUUCCUCUCUCCUUCUGUAGGAAACACUGAUGACUGAGUUGUCAAGGGCUUUGUUGCUUCAGAAAAUCCCUGUUAUCACUGUAAUAAAGGAACUCAUGUCUUCCA